rnacentral:lncRNA from 1 species
CCUUUUUGAAGAAUGCCAUGUCAUUCCAAACAAGAUUUGUUAGAUUCUAUUCCCAUGAUACUACUAAAAAAACAUAGCACUUUUGGUUCCAUUACAUUCCAUGAAGAAGAAUAAUGGUGUAGGAAAGUUUUUUUUUAUAAAUUACACUAAACAUUAAGGCCUAAAGAAGAAGAAACCUACGAUACAUUUUAGUAUCAUACACAAUCUUGCAUGUUCUCAUGUCCUUGAAGAUGGGGAUCUACGCGCAAUGCACUUUGGUAGGCAUCUCGAAGGAGAGAAUCCCUCUGGGGCCUUAUAAGACAAAAAGAAUUCAGGGUCGCACUCGAGAGACUCUGUGUAUUUUUCAAGAAUAGUUACAAUCUCCUCGAAGUGUGGCCGUUUGUCAGGAUUACUGGACCAGCACCGGUUUAUGAGCAGCCGAAGUGCCAUUGGACAUGAAGAAGGCAAUGGUGGCCUUGCAUUCUGCAUACAACAAACAUGGUUUAAAAAAAGUUAAUGAG